CUGACCGGAGAGGAUUAUCUUGUAGUGAAGAAGUCUAGUGGGGAGUCAAUCUCAGGAGGAUGGAGCAGGACCCAGAGCCCCACCAUGGUGCCUCCCCCUCCUUCUCCCAUACCAGAGAGGAACAAAGAACAGAAGAUCCUGGAACUGACCACCAUGAUGGUCCAUCUACUGACAGGAGAGGUUCCUAUAAGGUGUCAGGAUGUCACUGUCUAUUUCUCCA